UGUAAGGUUAAGUUUGUACCUGUUUAUGGGC
rnacentral:piRNA from 1 species